AGCGAACGCUGGCGGCAGGCUUAACACAUGCAAGUCGAGCGCCCGUAGCAAUACGGGAGCGGCAGACGGGAGAGUAACACGUGGGAACAUGCCCUUCGGUUCGGAAUAACUCAGGGAAACUUAGAGCUAAUACCGGAUACGUCCGUAAGGAGAAAGAUUUAUCGCCGAAGGAUUGGCCCGCGUCCGAUUAGCUUGUUGGUGAGGUAAUGGCUCACCAAGGCGACGAUCGGUAGCNGGUCUGAGAGGAUGAUCAGCCUCACUGGCACUGCGACACGGGCCAGACUCCUACGGGAGGCAGCAGUAAGGAAUAUUGCGCAAUGGGCGAAAGCCUGACGCAGCGACGCCGCGUGGGGAG
rnacentral:rRNA from 1 species